UCCAGAGGAUGCAAGCGUUGUCCGGAAUCACUGGGCGUAAAGGGCGCGUAGGCGGCUUGAUAAGGUUGCGGUGAAAGCCCGGGGCUCAACCCCGGGUCGGCCGUGGCAACUGUCGAGCUGGAGCACUGUAGAGGCAGGUGGAAUUCCGGGUGUAGCGGUGGAAUGCGUAGAGAUCCGGAAGAACACCGGUGGCGAAGGCGGCCUGCUGGGCAGUGGCUGACGCUGAGGCGCGACAGCGUGGGGAGCAAACAGG
rnacentral:rRNA from 1 species